rnacentral:rRNA from 1 species
AGAUUGAACGCUGGCGGCAUGCUUUACACAUGCAAGUCGAACGGUAACAGGCCGCAAGGUGCUGACGAGUGGCGAACGGGUGAGUAAUGUAUCGGAACGUGCCCAGUCGUGGGGGAUAACGCAGCGAAAGCUGCGCUAAUACCGCAUACGAUCUAUGGAUGAAAGCGGGGGACCGUAAGGCCUCGCGCGAUUGGAGCGGCCGAUAUCAGAUUAGGUAGUUGGUGGGGUAAAGGCUCACCAAGCCAACGAUCUGUAGCUGGUCUGAGAGGACGACCAGCCACACUGGGACUGAGACACGGCCCAGACUCCUACGGGAGCAGCAGUGGGGAAUUUUGGACAAU